UGGGGAAUUUUCCGCAAUGGGCGCAAGCCUGACGGAGCAACGCCGCGUGAGGGAUGAAGGCCUCUGGGCUGUAAACCUCUUUUUUCAAGGAAGAAGACCUGACGGUACUUGAAGAAUAAGCCACGGCUAAUUCCGUGCCAGCAGCCGCGGUAAUACGGGAGCGGCAAGCGUUAUCCGGAAUUAUUGGGCGUAAAGCGUCCGCAGGCGGCGCUGAAAGUCUGUCGUUAAAGCGUGGAGCUCAACUCCAUU
rnacentral:rRNA from 1 species